UGGGGAAUAUUGCACAAUGGGCGCAAGCCUGAUGCAGCAACGCCGCGUGAGGGGCGACGGCCUUCGGGUUGUAAACCUCUUUUGGCAGGGAAGAAGCGAAAGUGACGGUACCUGCAGAAAAAGCACCGGCUAACUACGUGCCAGCAGCCGCGGUGAUACGUAGGGUGCAAGCGUUGUCCGGAAUUAUUGGGCGUAAAGAGCUCGUAGGCGGUUUGUCGCGUCUGCUGUGAAAACCCGAGGCUCAACCUCGGGCCUGCAGUGGGUACGGGCAAACUAGAGUGCGGUGGGGGAGAUUGGAAUUCCUGGUGUAGCGGUGGAAUGCGCAGAUAUCAGGAGGAACACCGAUGGCGAAGGCAGAUCUCUGGGCCGUAACUGACGCUGAGGAGCGAAAGCAUGGGGAGCGAACA
rnacentral:rRNA from 1 species